UUCCGGUCUAGCUUAGUAUGUAGAGCGUUGAUUUGAAGCGUCAGAGGCACCUUGUGUGAUUGGAAG
rnacentral:tRNA from 1 species